AUUGAACGCUGGCGGCAGGCCUAACACAUGCAAGUCGAGCGGAUGAAGGGAGCUUGCUCCUGGAUUCAGCGGCGGACGGGUGAGUAAUGCCUAGGAGUCUGCCUGGUUGUGGGGGAUAACGUCCGCAAACAGGCGCUACUACCGCAUACGUCCUGCGGGUGCAGGAGGGGGGGCUUCGGACCUCACGCUCUCAGAUGAGCCUAGGUCGGGUUAGCUAGUUGGUGGGGUGAAGGCCUACCAAGGCGACGAUCCGUAACUGGCCUGUGAGGAUGAUCAGUCACACUGGAACUGAGACACGGUCCAGACUCCUACGGGAGGCAGCAGUGGGGAAUGUUGGACAGUGGGCGAAAGCCUUAUCCAGCCAGGGCGCGUGUGUGGAGAAGGUCUUCGGAUUGUAAAGCACUUUAAGUUGGGAGGAAGGGCAGUAAGUUAAUACCUUGCUGGUUUGACGUUACCAACAGAAUAAGCACCGGCUAACUUCGUG
rnacentral:rRNA from 1 species